rnacentral:misc_RNA from 1 species
GGUCACUUCUCUAGCUCUGCCCUUU